AGCGUUAACUAUUGCGAGUGUGAAACCUCUGCGAUUUUUUGGCGAUUUAUUCGCAGAGGUUUC
rnacentral:sRNA from 1 species